rnacentral:miRNA from 1 species
GGAUAUUUUCCAGUCAGGUUCCUGGCUGGAGUCCAGCUGACAUCUGGCUCUGGCCGGGAGCUUGACUAUGA